rnacentral:rRNA from 1 species
GACGAACGCUGGCGGCGUGCCUAAUACAUGCAAGUCGAGCGAUGAAGCUCGGUGCUUGUACCAAUUUGAAGUGCCGAGCACGGGAGUGUCACGCGUGUGGACUCUGCCUUUCAGUGGGGGACCACAUUUGGACACGAACGCUUAUACCGCAUAACAACUUUAUACAUAAGUUUUAAGUUUGAAAGAUGCAAUUGCAUCACUCAAAGAUGACCCCGCGUUGUAUUAGUUAGUUGGUGAGGUAAAGGCUCACCAAGGCGAUGAUACAUAGCCGACCUGAGAGGAUGGGCGGCCGGAUUGGGACUGUGACACGGCACAAACGGCUACGGGAGGCAGCAGGAGGGAAACGUGGGCAAUGGGCGAAAGUCUUACCAAGCAGCGCCGCGUGAGUAAAGAGGGUUGUCGGGUCGUAAAACUCGGUUGGUAGGGAAGAACGUGGGUGAGAGUGGAAAGCUCAUCAAGUGACGGUAACGAGCCAAGAAGGGACGGCUAACUACGUG